GCCGGGGUGGCGAAACUGGCAGACGCACAGGACUUAAAAUCCUGAGUUCCGCAAGGAACGUGCGGGUUCGAGUCCCGCCCUCGGCA
rnacentral:tRNA from 1 species